rnacentral:rRNA from 1 species
UACGAAGGUGGCAAGCGUUACUCGGAAUUACUAGGCGUAAAGGGCAGGUAGGUGGUUUGGUUAGUCUGUUGUGAAAGCUCCCGGCUUAACUGGGAGAGGUCAACGGAUACUGCCAAACUUGAGUAUAGGAGAGGUUACUGGAAUUCCCGGUGUAGCGGUGAAAUGCGCAGAUAUCAGGAGGAACACCGGUGGCGAAGGCGGGUCUCUGGGCAACAACUGACGCUGAGGAGCGAAAGCGUGGGGAGCGAACAGG